rnacentral:rRNA from 1 species
GACGAACGCUGGCGGCGUGCUUAACACAUGCCAGUCGAACGGAAAGGCCCCUUUGGGGGUCCUCGAGUGGCGAACGGGUGAGUAACACGUGAGUAACCUGCCCUUGACUUCGGGAUAACUUCAGGAAACUGGGGCUAAUACCGGAUAGGAAUCCUUGCUGCAUGGUGGGGGUUGGAAAGCUUCGGCGGUUUUGGAUGGACUCGCGGCUUAUCAGCUUGUUGGUGGGGUAGUGGCUUACCAAGGCUUUGACGGGUAGCCGGCCUGAGAGGGCGACCGGCCACAGUGGGACUGAGAUACGGCCCAGACUCCUACGGGAGGCAGCAGUGGGGAAUAUUGCACAAUGGGCGGAAGCCUGAUGCAGCAACGCCGCGUGCGGGAGGACGGCCUUCGGGUUGUAAACCGCGUUCAGCAGGGGCGAAGCUUGUGGUGACGGUACCUGCAGAAGAAGCACCGGCUAACUACGUG